GGAAUAUGAACCGGUUUAUAACUUGUUCGAUUUAUUUUACUACCUACUAUUAAAUCCUUGAUUUACUAAUUUUUAUUUACUGCAUUUCAGUCUCCUUUGUUAAAGCUAUAUGUCAUUUGGGAAAAAUUUAAAUAGAAAUUUAUUUUUUGACAACCACACAAAAGCGUUUAAACAAAUAAAUAAAAUUGAGGGUUAUCAAUUUAAGAACCAAAAUUCUCUAAAGAGAAUAAACCGCUGCCAUGUAAUUUAGGUUUGAUUUAAUACCUAAAGUUAUUUCAUACCUGGUUUCUAUUCCAGUUUUGUACUUUGAUUUAAAAAUUUGAAUUUUCUUUCAAAAUGUCUUAGAACUGGGGAAGAAAGAAAAUUUAGAAUUAUCAAUUUUAUAAAAUUUUAUUUUAAAAGUA
rnacentral:rRNA from 1 species